rfam:Candidatus Blackburnbacteria bacterium RIFCSPHIGHO2_02_FTLL_44_20 rifcsphigho2_02_scaffold_4717, whole genome shotgun sequence.
UUUUUGUCCAAAGAACGCAGACAGUGGAUGCCUUGGCGCAAGUUGCCGAAGAAGGACGUAGUUGGCGGCGAUACUCGUCGGGUAGGAGCCAAUAUCCUAUGAUCCGACGGUUUCCGAAUGGGGAAACCCGUCCCGCUUCAUCGCGGGAUACUCUCAUCCCAAGUUUUUGAAUUUAUUCAAAUUAUUAAGAUGUGAGAGGAUACCUGGGGAACUGAAACAUCUAAGUACCCAGAGGAACAGAUACCGAAAGUGUAUUCCGUUAGUAGCGGUGAGCGAAAACGGAGGAGCCCAAAUCCGCCCGCAAGGGUGAGAGGUUGUAGGACCCGCCACAACAGACAUGUGUGGUUAGUAGAAUAGCUUGGAAUAGCAGACCAGAGAGAGUGAAAGUCUCGUAUACGAAAACUAGACAUGCUGGGUGGGUAUCCUGAGUACCACGGGACACGAGAAAUCUUGUGGGAAUCUACCCCGACCACGGGGUAAGGCUAAAUACAAUUUGCGACCGAUAGUGAACUAGUACCGCGAGGGAAAGGUGAAAAGAUGAGCGGAACGCUCAGUGAAAUAGAACCUGAAACUGUUUGCGAACAAACCGAUAGAGUCCCGCCUCGGCGGGAUGAUAUCGUGCCUAUUGAAGAAUGAACCGGCGAGUUGUCGUGUAGUGUUUUCUUAACCCACUUUGUGGGGGAGGAGCAGUGAAAGCGAGGAUGAAUAGUCCGACUUACAAUACUAUGCGGCAGACCCGAAACCAGGUGAUCUAACCAUGAGCAGGGUGAAUCCGCCAGAAAUGGCGAGAGGAGGCCCGAACCGGUGUAUGUUGCAAUAUGCUCGGAUGACUUGUGGUUAGCGGUAAAAUGCCAAACGAACCUGGAGAUAGCUGGUUCUCCCCGAAAGGUCUAUAGGGACCGCCCUUUGAGGAAAUGCAGUUGGGGUAGAGCACUGAAUGGGGCAUCAAGGGAAACUGAGAUGUCUCAAUCAAACUCCCGAAUACAACUGUAGAACACCAAAGGAGACAGUCAUACGGGGCUAAGCUCGUGUGGCUAAAGGGAAACAACCCAGACUCUCAGUUAAGGCCUCUAAAUUUACCUUAAGUUUGUAAGGAAGUUACUCCUCCCCCGACACCCAGGAGGUUGGCUUAGAAGCAGCCAUCCUUUAAAGAUAGCGUAACAGCUCACUGGCCGAUGGAGGGUAGCGCCGAAGAUUUAUCGAGGAUUAAAGGUAAUGCCGAAACUAGAGAUGCGAUUUUAAUUUAUUAAAAUCGCGUGGUAGGGGAGCGUGCUGAGUGCUUUGAAGCUUUGAUGUAAAUUGGAGUGGAGCGCUCAGUAGUGAGAAUGCCGGUAUGAGUAGCGAGAAGUCCAGUGAGAAUCUGGACCGCCGUAUGCCUAAGGUUUCCGUCGCAACGUUCGUCGGCGACGGGUUAGUCGGCUCCUAAGGCGAGGCCAUAAUUGGCGUAGUCGAUGGAAGAGGCGUUAAUAUUCGUCUACUUGUUUUGUAUCGUUAUAAAUUGGGGAUUGACCGAGUUGGAGAUUUCGAGCCCAUUAUUAGAAUUUGGGUAUAAAUCGCAAAAUAGUUUUGACUGGAAAGUCCGUUGAAACGUUUAAUUGAACGAUUAUGUAAAGUGUUCCGAAAGGAAUGCAAUUCGAACGUCUUCAGCUUGCAAGAAAAGGUCCGCAAUGAGAGACAAAGCAAGCCGUACCAACAACCGACACAGGUGGGCUGGUAGAGUAUACUAAGGCGAGCGAGAGAAGGUAGGUUAAGGAACUCGGCAAUAAAGCUGGACGUAAGUUCGCAAGAUGUCCUCCCCGCCAUUAGGCGGGGCGCAGCUAACGAUUGUCAACCGACUGUUUAUCAAAAACACAGGUCCCUGCAAAAGCGAAAGCUAAGGUAUAGGGGCUGACGCCUGCCCAGUGCUGGUAAGUCAACCGGAGGGGUGAAUCGCCGCAAGGCGGCUUGCUCUGAAGCGAAGCUCCAGUAAACGGCAGCAGUAACUAUAAACCGAAAGGUCGUUGUAGUUCUAAAACCUGGCUAUAUGCUGGAAUAUCUGAGUAUCUUGAGCUAGUUGACUUUGGGUUUAAUUCGGGUAAUACUGAGUUAUGCUUCAAUCGACUGACAAUGCUUCAAGUGCAGACAAUCAGCAGGAAAGGCUAGAAAUCGGAUGGGUAGUUGGUUUUAUAGAUGGGGAGGGCUGUUUUUCAGUUAGUCUCCACAAGAACCCAACAACCCAAAUUGGUUGGCAGAUAAUGCCAGAGUUUGUGGCAACUCAAGGAGAAAAGAGUUUAGAUGCUCUUAGGAAAUUGGAAACUUUCUUCAGUUGUGGUCGAAUAUUUGUAAAUCGCAGAUAUGAUAACCACAAUGAGAAUCUCUAUAGAUUCUGUGUUAGAUCCUUUAAGGAUCUUGAAGAGAAAGUUGUACCGUUUUUUAAGCAACAUCCACUUCAAACUGCAAAGAGGCGAGAUUUUGAGAUUUUUUCUCAGAUAAUUGUCUUGAUGAAAGAGAAGAAGCACUUAAAUCCCGAGGGUAUAAGAGAAAUAAUUUCUCUUGCUACAAACAUGAAUACCAAAAAAAGAAAAAGGUUUCUAGAAUCCUCAGAGACUAUACGCCGGGUCCCGUAAAAAGCGGGAAUGAUAUAGUCCGACCCUUGUGGCGACACAAGGAACAUGGCAGAAAUGGUCCAUGUCCUCCCUAUUUGGGGAGAGCAACAAAGUGAACUGUUCUACGGUGGAAUCAAGCUGCUGUAGUAAAAUUUGGCUAUAUGCUGGAAUAACUCGAGAAUCUGACAGUAGUCGCCUCAGUCGACUGACAAUCUGUUCAGUGGAGUCAAUCAGCAGGAAAGGUCCCGCCUCGGCGGGGAAUCCUCAGAGACUAUACGCCAAACUCCAUUUUGGAGAAGAUAUAGUCCGAACUUUGUGGCGACACAAAGAGCUUACUGAAGCAUGUAAGCCCCACCUGGGUAACAAAAUGUUAAUCGAAAGAUUAAACUUGAGCGAAGUUCCUUGUCGGGUAAGUUCCGACCCGCACGAAAGGCGUAACGAGUUGACAGCUGUCUUAACCUAUUACUCGGCGAAAUUGCAGUGGCCGUGAAGAUGCGGCCUACUUGCACCAGGACAAAAAGACCCCGUGGAGCUUUACUGUAGCUUGGCACUGAUUUGGAUUUGCCAAUUGUUUAGUGUAGGAGGGACUGCGGCGUAAAAAACCGUAGGCCGAUGAAACACCUCUCUUUGACAAUUCUAAAUCUCACCCAUAAGCCCUGGAAACGGGUUUGGGAACACUGCUUAGCGGACAGUUUCACUGGGGCGGUGUCCUGCUAAAGAGUAACGCAGGAGCACAAAGGUCAGCUUAGCACGGAUGGAAAUCGUGCUGGACGUGUAAGGGCACAAGCUGGCUUGACUGUGAGGCUGACGGGCCGAACAGGUACGAAAGUAGGUCCUAGUGAUCCUCGAUACCUUCGUGGGAGGGUACGAGCUUAACGGAUAAAAGCUACCCCGGGGAUAACAGAGUAGUCGCGCCCGAGAGUCCAUAUCGACGGCGCGGUUCGCUACCUCGAUGUCGGCUCAACGCAUCCUGGGGGAGGAGCAUCUCCCAAGGGUUGGUCUGUUCGCCCAUUAAAGCGUUACGCGAGCUGGGUUCAGAACGUCGUGAGACAGUUCGGACUCUAUCCGGUGCAAGCGAGGGAUUUUUGAGGGGAGUUGACCUCAGUACGAGAGGACCAGGUUGAAGGAACCCCUAGUGUACCAGUUGUUACGUCAGUAGCAUCGCUGGGUAGCUACGUUCCUACGGGAUAACCGCUGAAAGCAUCUAAGCGGGAAGCCCACCCCAAGAUGAGAAAUCCACAAACUUGUGCUAUGCACAAGUAGACCCGUUGGAGAAUACAACGUUGAUAGGCAAGUGGUGUAAGGCCCGAGAGGGCUUCAGCCUACUUGUACUAAUUGGUCGAAGGUACAAAAAAC